CCGACGGGUUCAACAACACUAAAUCAGAAUCAGUUGUUCGGCCAACCUCUUUCGCAGAGCUGCAGUGAGAAUGUCGGUAGCUGUGAUCGGAUGAUGUGCCCAUUCCUUGCUGGAUGACAUUUUCCAGAUUGGAACAAAAAACGCAACUGCAGAACUUCUGGGACAGCUUAACCUCUUUGUCUCCAAGUUGACAGGAACAUCCACUGGAUUCACGGCCAUUAACUUCUUUGUCAUCACAAACGAGUUCCUUCUGACUUUGGGUGGACUGUUCAUCACCUACUUCUUCCUCCUGCUGCAAUUCAAGAUAUAGACUGACACUGGGUUGUCCUCAUGUGGAUAGAUUCAUACACACCAAGUGUCCUGUCCCCAAAA